CGGCAGCACGGGAGCAAUCCUGGUGGCGAGUGGCGAACGGGUGAGUAAUAUAUCGGAACGUGCCCAGUCGUGGGGGAUAACGUAGCGAAAGCUACGCUAAUACCGCAUACGAUCUAUGGAUGAAAGCGGGGGACCGUAAGGCCUCGCGCGAUUGGAGCGGCCGAUAUCAGAUUAGGUAGUUGGUGAGGUAAAGGCUCACCAAGCCGACGAUCUGUAGCUGGUCUGAGAGGACGACCAGCCACACUGGGACUGAGACACGGCCCAGACUCCUACGGGAGGCAGCAGUGGGGAAUUUUGGACAAUGGGCGCAAGCCUGAUCCAGCAAUGCCGCGUGCAGGAUGAAGGCCUUCGGAUUGUAAACUGCUUUUGUACGGAGCGAAAAGGCUUCCACUAAUACUGGGGGCUCAUGACGGUACCGUAAGA
rnacentral:rRNA from 1 species